rnacentral:snRNA from 1 species
AGCUUUGCACAGUGGCAGUAUCAUAGCCAAUGAGGUUUAUCCGAGGUGCGAUUAUUGCUAAUUGAAAACAAAACAUAAGCCG